UAAAUUAAUUAAUAUACAGUAAAGGUGUAAAAGACCAUCUAUAUCAUUGUCACAGCUAGACUCCUCGUAAUACCAACACAUUCCUCUUUUAUAACAAAUAACAUGCAGUAGCCGAUAUAAAAGUCAUGUGAAACAAUAUAUAAGCAAAUAACAUAAUGAUUUUUAAAGUUAUUUUUUGUCACAUUAGGAACAACCUGCUGAUAUUUAAAUGAACAUAAAUAAAACCAUAAAAUGGAAAAAUAAUUAAACGGGUUUAAAAAAUUGAAAGUUGAGAAAACCAAGAUUUUAUGAUUGGUCGUGUGUUAUUGUUUGGGACAUUCUUUUGUCUAUAGAUUUAUUCUUUUCAAGAGGAAAUACGAGUUUGCAAUACAUUUUUUUUGUUAUUAUGCAUUCAAUAAAAAAUUCUUUAUAUAAAAAGACAGGUUGAUCACUUUAAUGUUACCACCUUCAAAGGUUUUAAAUAAAUAUUGUUUUUAAUUGCUUAAUUUUUUUUUUUUGUAUAGGUUAAAAAAACUACUUCAGACGAUCGAUUUAUAUAUUUUGGACGUUUCGAUUUCGAUACGAAAUCAUCCUUAGGACUCUAAAAGAUAUACAAAAACCCAAAUAAAAUAGUACAUUCUGGCAUAGCUUUGACGAACGUUAAAUUCUGCACAAAUUAAAAGAAAUUAUUAAUGCUCAAUUAAAAGUCUUGGCAUAAUACAAAUGUAUGUACAUACAUAAUUGUAAUCAAAUAAAAUUACAUUAGUAAAUAGGAUACAGCUAGGAAAACAAAAUCUUGUGUCUCUACAAUUUAAUAUAUCUAUUUAUAAAAAUAUAACAUCCGUGUAAAAGCACUUAUUUUCAACCAAACAAAAUACACUUACAUGAUACUUAUACAAAAAAAAUAAUUAUAUAAAUAUAGGAUACGUGAGCUGCAUUUACACCAGUGACUUAUAAUAAGUGACUAAUAAUCUACAUUUUGGCAUUAAAAACUGUUUAACCUUAAUGGAAAACAUUUAAUAGUUUUUGAUAUUUCUAGUUAAAGUUGGAAGCAUACUCAUUUUACCCUAUAUAAUUCAAAAAAGUAGUCAUAUUUUUCUCAUCGAGACCUCUUAAUAAUAAAUAUUCAAAGAUUGAAGGCACACAAAGUCUAAGAAUAUAUUUAUUCCAAAAAAAAAAUUACACGUGUUUCGCCCUAAGGCAUCAUCAGAUCUAAAAGUAAAAAGCAACCCUAAUUUAUAAAAAACAACAAUAUUAAAAGUAGGUAAGUCGUAUUUUAAUAUUGUAAUUGGUGUCUAUGCAUUGUUGUUGUUUAUACUAGGGUUGCUUUCUACUUUUAGAACUGAUGAUGCCUUAGGGCGAAACAUGUGUUUUUUUUUUAAAUAAACAUACUCUGAGACCGUUGACUUUGUAACCCGUUAAUCUAUUAAUAUUUACGUUAUAUAAGGUGAACAUCUUUGACUUGCUGAUACCACAAAUUAGGCCUGUGUUCAAAAUUUUUCAUUUCCUACAUUGAUACAAAGACAAAAAAAAGUUUUUGUUUCCUUUGUAAGGAGCAGAGGAGCGGAGGAGGCACAAGCAGUAACUAGGAGGAAAUUAAAAAUUCAAACAAAAUUGCAAAACAAGUGAGUCAACUUUCAGGGGAUUAUAUUUUAUGACAAAUGGCAACUACGUAAACUGAUAAUCAAAAAUAAUUAACAAAUGCACUUUAAAUAGCUAUUAUGUUUUACCUGUCUAUUAUUGAUUUAUAAUACCUUAGAAACGGAAUAUGUUAUGGUAGCAAUAAUACCUGCUAUCACACCUAGGGCAUUAUGAUAAUGCCCGGAAAUUUUAUUGCUUAUCCAAUUUUAUUUCUCUCAUAAUAAAGAAUAAACAUCCAUUUAAUACAAAAAUUUUUUUUGGUCCAUCGUGGUGUCUUCUGCGAUUCUGUGAGUGGUGGCUUUUGUUAUCCCACUUCUUAAUCUUAAAAAUCUGUUCAAACUUCUUUUCUUAAUGCCAAUGGUACAGGUACAUUUUUAGAAUUACUUCGUUUUUUAUCUGCAAAUUAAAAAGACAGAAAGUAGAAAACAAUACAUAAAAAAAUAAUUAAUUUUAGAUAUGAUGUAGUUUCAAACAGGAAUUAUUUAAUUUUUAUUUUUUUAAUUAUACAAUCUGUAUAAUUGAGCAAUUAUACACAUUGUAUAAGUUUAAAAUUUGCCAAUAUCAUUUUAUUUAAAUUAAAUUAAAUUUUCAUUUAAAUCAUUAAACGCAUUUCUUACAUACAAAUAUGAAAAAAAAAAUUUUACAAAGUUUAACACCCUGUAUCUUGAAAACAAACCACUUCCGGACAUUUUAUGUUUAUUAAAAAAAAAAGUUUACUUUUACAUGAUUUAUCACUUCCAGAAGUUUGAAACCUGACACCCUGUAUAGCUUAUAUGUAUGUGUAAUAAAAUACAGGGUGUCCUAUUUAAAAUGAUAUAUAUGGGAAUUUGUAUAGUUGGUAAAUUGUCCAUUAAAGAAUUUUCAAUAGUCGAUACGGAAUUAACUGAAUUGGCAAUCAUUUUGGCUACUUUCUUUUUGGAUGAAAUACUUUCUUCUAUAUAUCCUUCAGCUACUGAAGAGAUUUUCCAUUUCCCAUGUUGUUUUAGCAUUUCAAACGAAGCACCUGCCUCAACAAGUAAAGUUGACGAUGUGCGACGCAAACAGUGGCCGGUAUAAGCUUCUGCAUUAUCCAGUUUUAAAAAUUUUACGAUCAAUAUUGGGACGCUUCCUAUGGUAUUUUUUCCAACAGGUUGUACUGUACAGCGACUCUUUCUAUAGGUAAAAAAGAAUCUUCGCUCCUUUAUUCCAGCUGGUCUUAAUGCUGCAUACUUUUUUAUUAAAUUUAAAGCGCCUAAAUCUUCUUCAAUGAUAGUAAAACUUUUUGAAGUUGAAGUUUUAGUUUUUGGUACCUUUAUAGCCAAGACCGUUCCUCUAUCUUCAAUAUCAUCAAUGGUCAUUUUGACCAACUCAUCUCGUCUUAAACCACCAAAAACACCCAUUACCAAUAUGACUUUGUGUACCAAGUAGGUAUCACCAGGAGCCUUCUUAAUAAAUUUUAUUAUUUGUUCUCCUUUCAAAACUUUACACUUCUUCGAGACAUUUCCUUUUGACUUAACUUUUUAAAAAGUUAUGAGACGAUGGUAUUGCGAGAUGUCUAUAUUUUUAUAGACCAUUAACGUAGACCUUAGGGUAGAAUACUUGGUCCAGAAAGAGUUCGGACUGUAUUUUCCGACUAAAAAUAUUACAAUUUGUUAAACAUAUGUACCUAUUAAAAUAAAAUCAAUAACUUACCAGUUCCUAAAUAUAUGCCAUUAGAACGGUUUCGGUUAUUUGAACAAUUGCGUUGGCAUCUUUCCAAAUACCAAAUAUGCCAUACUCCCGAUCAUACUGUUGCCUUGAUUUAAAUGGCAAAAGAUUUUAUGGCCUUUUCUCUUAUAUUUUGUGGAAUUUCUUCCAUUUUAAGCAAAUAUUUAAAGAAAAAAUGCCAACUGACAGAAACAUCAAAGUCAAACUUAAAUAAUCACUGCAAGUCACUUGAUAAAUUUCUGUAGGUAGGUAUGUACUUAUAACUACGUGUACAGGUAGACACUAUUUUUUAAUUAAUAUUUAUUUAUUUUUUGUUUAUAAAAAUCAAUUUUUAGGUAAAACAUAAAGCAUUGUAUGCACCACGGGCAUAGUUAGACUCUAAUGCCCAUCAGGCGGAAACCUAGCCCUCGGGCUACUAUUUCCACCUUCCGGGCAUUAUCGUCCUUACAAUGCCCUGGAUACAUAAAUAGCUAUUAUCAAUAACUUUUUUAACUUAUUAUAAUUUCGUGUAAUAAGCUGUGUUAGUUCAAUAUUUAAAUUUUUUUGGUUAGGACUUCUCUCAAUUUUUGUUUUUAAAUUUUGCGGUAAAAUCUUAAGAAUUUUCGGAAGCAAAAAUAAUAUAUUUCUUUGCAAAUGAGAUUUGUUGUGAAAAAAUAUGAUUGUAUUUCAUUAUUUCUUUUAGAACGGGUGCAUAAUGAUGAUCAAGCUCAGUGAAAAUAUGUUUUAUUUUUUUGAGAAAUAAAGACUUGUACUUACAAAUAAUCCUCUUAGGUUUAAAACAUUAAAUUCAGAAUAAGGAUUAAUUACACCGCCCAACAGCAUGUAUGUUGCAUGGAAUAUUUUUAUGAUUCUAGGCUUAUUUUUAAUGCUGAUAUUAAAUAAUGUCAUCAGUUUAUAUGUGUCAGCUCUAGUUUUUGAGUUAAAAGGAGGGAGUAUUUUUUGGGAAUUAAAAAUACACUCAACAUACAAACAUUUAUAAUUACAAGAACUAUACACUCAGGAAUUUUCUUUUAUAUGAUUUUCUACUAGUUUUGAAUGAACUGCUACUCUGAAUACUCCAGCAAAAAUCGGCCAACAUAUAUGCAUCCCAGCGACCCUGAAAUCGUUCCUCCAUGGUUCGAAGAUCUUGGUGGAAUCGUUCACCCUGUUCUUCACUCAUGUCACCGAGAUUUUCAGGAAAAUGGUGUAAAUGGCUGUGUAGGAAGUGCACUUUGAUGCUCAUGUUACAUCCAAGUCGCUGGAAGUGUGACAACAUCUCUUUGACGUGCGCAAUGUAAUCAUCACCCUUCCUAUUACCUAAGAAAUUUUGGAUAACCCAAACAAAGGAAUCCCAUGCAUUCUUCUCAAUUUCUGACAUUGAGCUGGUGAAAUUAGGAUCGUUUACCAACUUGCGAAUUUGUGGACCAUCAAAUAUACCUGCCUUGAGUUUUUCUGAACUUAGACUUGGAAAUUUCCUUGAAAUAUAUUUGAAACAUUCACCAAUUUUAUUUAAUGCCUUAACAUAUUGCUUCAUUAAACCUAGUUUAAUGUGCAGGGGUGGCAAUAUGAUACGAUCUCGUGGCACUAGAGGUUCAUUUAUAACAUUAAGACUACCUGGAAAUAGUGCUUCCCUAGAGGGCCAUUAUUUUUUUGACCAAUGUUCUGAUUUUGCUCUACUAUCCCAUAAACACAUAAAACAAGGAUAUUUAGUGUAGCCUCCUUGUUGUCCUUAAAGGAAGUUCACCAUCUUAAGAUCAACGCAAAUCACCCAUUUAUGAUCGUUAUAUUUGAUUUUGUUCAUGACCAGUGCUAUUGUGGGGUAUUCUUCCUUAACUUUAGUUGAAUGUGCUAUUGGUAUGGAGCCUAGUUUAUUUCCGUUGUGCAAUAGUACACACUUCAAACUCGGUUUUGACGAGUCAAUAAAUAAACGCCAAACGAUUGGUUCAUAUUUCUGCAAGCCCAUGGCAGUCAUUAAACCAGAAAUAUUAGUACAAAAUACAAAAUUAUCCUCCUCAGCGAAAAAGGGAAGUAAGUCUUUUUCUCGAGUGCGGUAAUAAGAAACUUUAGUUUCUUUAGUUAAAAGAUUUCUCUAUUUUAAUCUGGAGGCCAAUAAUUCAGACGAAGUUUUGGAUAGUCCAAGGUCUUUAAUUAAAUCAUCAGGUGCACUUUGAUCGAAUGGUUUUGGUUCAAAGAGAUUUUCUGGAACAAACUCGUCAUCGCUCAUGCUACUCAGUUCAUUCAAUUCAUCAGAACUUUCUGUAGAUGUAGAUGGUAAUGGUAAAGAUGUAUCUUUUGAGCUCCUUACAGGCCUCACAGCUGAUGUUGAUGUGGGGUAAAUCCAUUUGGAGCGGUUCGUCUUGUUGAUUCCUUUUAUAUUAACAACGCAAAAAUAGCAGUCAUCGUGAUGAUUUAAAGGUUCACGCCAAAUCAUUGGGGAUUGGAAUUUAAAAGAGAGUCUCUUCUUAGUGGCCCAUAAACGUAAUUCUUCAACACAAAUUUUGCACACAAUAUUGGGCACCCAGCACUUGUUAUCUGUUUCCAAAGGAAAACCAAAACACUCUAAAUACGCUCGUUUCACAAAGUCUGACAUAUUCAAUCGAAAUUUUUGAAAAACAUAUUCACCACAAAUAUAACAAAACAAUUCGGAUCGUUAAUGCAGACCCUUCUUAGCGAAGUCAUGAUGAAAAUUACAAUAAUUUAUCUAAAACGCGACUAUAAUAGAUAAAAAACCAAAAAUAAAGAUAAAUGAGAAGAACGUAGCUAUAUCUAAACAACUCGAGCUGUUAGAGUAAAACUGACGACAGAUUCGAAAUCAGAUGCCUCGAAUUAGUAAACAACAAUAAAAAUAUUUCAGUCAACAUAAAAUAACCUUCGAUUUGUUGUGCAGUGUUAU
rnacentral:lncRNA from 1 species